rnacentral:rRNA from 1 species
GAUGAACGCUGGCGGCGUGCCUAAUACAUGCAAGUCGAGCGAACAGAUGAGGAGCUUGCUCCUCUGACGUUAGCGGCGGACGGGUGAGUAACACGUGGAUAACCUACCUAUAAGACUGGGAUAACUUCGGGAAACCGGAGCUAAUACCGGAUAAUAUAUUGAACCGCAUGGUUCAAUAGUGAAAGACGGUUUUGCUGUCACUUAUAGAUGGACCCGCGCCGCAUUAGCUAGUUGGUAAGGUAACGGCUUACCAAGGCAACGAUGCGUAGCCGACCUGAGAGGGUGAUCGGCCACACUGGAACUGAGACACGGUCCAGACUCCUACGGGAGGCAGCAGUAGGGAAUCUUCCGCAAUGGGCGAAAGCCUGACGGAGCAACGCCGCGGGAGUGAUGAAGGUCUUCGGAUCGUAAAACUCUGUUAUUAGGGAAGAACAAAUGUGUAAGUAACUAUGCACGUCUGGACGGUACCUAAGCAGAAAGCCACGGCUAACUACGU